AGCGAACGCUGGCGGCAGGCUUAACACAUGCAAGUCGAGCGGACCUUUCGGGGUCAGCGGCGGACGGGUGAGUAACGCGUGGGAACGUGCCUUCCGGUUCGGAAUAACCCUGGGAAACUAGGGCUAAUACCGGAUACGCCCUUAUGGGGAAAGGUUUACUGCCGGAAGAUCGGCCCGCGUCUGAUUAGCUAGUUGGUGGGGUAACGGCCUACCAAGGCGACGAUCAGUAGCUGGUCUGAGAGGAUGAUCAGCCACACUGGGACUGAGACACGGCCCAGACUCCUACGGGAGGCAGCAGUGGGGAAUAUUGGACAAUGGGCGCAAGUCUGAUCCAGCCAUGCCGCGUGAGUGAUGAAGGCCUUAGGGUUGUAAAGCUCUUUUAUCCGGGACGAUAAUGACGGUACCGGAGGAAUAAGCCCCGGCUAACUUCGUG
rnacentral:rRNA from 1 species